rnacentral:misc_RNA from 1 species
GAUGAAGAACGUAGCGAAAUGCGAUAAGUAGUGUGAAUUGCAGAAUUUAGUGAAUCAUCGAAUCUUUGAACGCACAUUGCGCCCGCCAGUAUUCUGGCGAGCAUGCCUGUUCGAGCGUCAUUUCAACCAUCAAGCCCCAGGCUUGUGUUGGAGCCCUGCGGCUGCCGCAGCCUCCCAAAACCAGUGGCGGGCUCGCUAUCACACCGAGUGCAGUAGUUUACUCUUCGCUCAGGGCGUGUGGCGGGUGCUAGCCGUGAAACCCCCAACUUCUCAAGGUUGACCUCGGAUCAGGUAGGAAUACCCGCUGAACUUAAGCAUAUCAAUAAGCGGAGGA